rfam:Paenibacillus beijingensis strain DSM 24997, complete genome.
AGUACCUUUAACUCAGUCCCGAGAGGCUGGCAAGGUAGCGUGAAUAAUAGGCCGAUGAUGCGGCCGGGCAGAACGAUCCUCCUUCACAUUGAAGCGCGGCUUAGACCGCUGUAUUCAGACAGGCUGAUGGAGGGGGCGGCCCGGCUUUCGGAUCAUCGCGUCUGGAAGCUCCUUGCUGUUAGCGGCAAGGAGCUUUUUUUGC